rnacentral:rRNA from 1 species
GUGCGUAGGCGGUUUGUUAAGUUCGGGGUGAAAGUCCAAGGCUCAACCUUGGGAAUGCCUUGAAAACUGGCAGACUUGAGUGCUGGAGAGGCAAGGGGAAUUCCACGUGUAGCGGUGAAAUGCGUAGAGAUGUGGAGGAAUACCAGUGGCGAAGGCGCCUUGCUGGACAGUGACUGACGCUGAGGCACGAAAGCGUGGGGAGCAAACAGGAUUAGAUACCCUGGUAGUCCACGCCGUAAACGAUGAGUGCUAGGUGUUGGGGGGUACCACCCUCAGUGCCGAAGGAAACCCAAUAAGCACUCCGCCUGGGGAGUACGGUCGCAAGACUGAAACUCAAAGGAAUUGACGGGGGCCCGCACAAGCAGUGGAGCAUGUGGUUUAAUUCGAAGCAACGCGAAGAACCUUACCAGGGCUUGACAUCCCUCUGACGGAUACAGAGAUGUAUCUUCCCUUCGGGGCAGAGGAGACAGGUGGUGCAUGGUCGUCGUCAGCUCGUGUCGUGAGAUGUUGGGUUAAGUCCCGCAACGAGCGCAACCCUUGAUCUGUGUUACCAGCACGUGAUGGUGGGGACUCACAGGUGACUGCCGGCGUAAGUCGGAGGAAGGUGGGGAUGACGUCAAAUCAUCAUGCCCUUUAUGUCCUGGGCGACACACGUGCUACAAUGGGCGGAACAACGGGAAGCGAGACCGCGAGGUGGAGCAAAACCCUGAAAACCGUUCGUAGUUCGGAUUGCAGGCUGCAACCCGCCUGCAUGAAGCCGGAAUUGCUAGUAAUCGCGGAUCAGCAUGCCGCGGUGAAUCCGUUCCCGGGCCUUGUACACACCGCCCGUCACACCACGAGAGUCGGCAACACCCGAAGUCGGUGGG